UACGGGGGGGGCAAGCGUUGUUCGGAAUUACUGGGCGUAAAGGGCUCGUAGGCGGCCAACUAAGCCAGACGUGAAAUCCCUCGGCUUAACCGGGGAACUGCGUCUGAUACUGGAUGGCUAGAGGUUGGGAGAGGGAUGCGGAAUUCCAGGUGUAGCGGUGAAAUGCGUAGAUAUCUGGAGGAACACCGGUGGCGAAGGCGGCAUCCUGGACCAAUUCUGACGCUGAUGAGCGAAAGCCAGGGGAGCAAACGGG
rnacentral:rRNA from 1 species